rnacentral:rRNA from 1 species
AUACGUAGGUGGCAAGCGUUGUCCGGAAUUACUGGGCGUAAAGGGCGCGUAGGCGGUCAUUUUAGUCAGGUGUGUAAACUGUCGGCUUAACCGGGAGAUUGCACCUGAUACUGGAUGACUUGAGUGCAGGAGAGGGCAGUGGAAUUCCUAGUGUAGCGGUGAAAUGCGUAGAUAUUAGGAAGAACACCAGUGGCGAAGGCGACUUUCUGGACCGUAACUGACGCUGAGGCAUGAAAGCGUGGGUAGC